UCAUUACUUUGGGGUCACUACACUUCAC
rnacentral:sRNA from 1 species